rnacentral:lncRNA from 1 species
UUGAGUGUAAUUGGAGGGUUCCAAUGACAAAGGAUCUUGAAGAGUGGUUGUUAAUCCUUGUGGCAUUGGGUGUCGACUCAUUGAGACUUUUGAAGUUUUCACGAUCCGGUGAAUGAGUAGGACUGAUGGAUGAUGCUUGGUGAUUAAUAGAAGCAUUACGUGAAGCAUGGGGACUACUAUAUGAAUUUUCGAGUGAUGCUUCAUGAGCAGCGGGUUGGACAAAAUGGA